UGGGGAAUAUUGCACAAUGGGGGAAACCCUGAUGCAGCGACGCCGCGUGAAGGAAAGAAGUAUCUCGGUAUGUAAACUUCUAUCAGCAGGGAAGACAAUGACGGUACCUGACUAAGAAGCCCCGGCUAACUACGUGCC
rnacentral:rRNA from 1 species